GACGAACGCUGGCGGCGUGCCUAAUACAUGCAAGUUGAGCGCUGAAGGUUGGUACUUGUACCAACUGGAUGAGCAGCGAACGGGUGAGUAACGCGUGGGGAAUCUGCCUUUGAGCGGGGGACAACAAUUGGAAACGAAUGCUAAUACCGCAUAAAAACUUUAAACACAAGUUUUAAGUUUGAAAGAUGCAAUUGCAUCACUCAAAGAUGAUCCCGCGUUGUAUUAGCUAGUUGGUGAGGUAAAGGCUCACCAAGGCGAUGAUACAUAGCCGACCUGAGAGGGUGCUCGGCCCCAUUGGGACUGAGACACGGCCCAAACUCCUACGGGAGGCAGCAGUAGGGAAUCUUCGGCAAUGGACGAAAGUCUGACCGAGCAACGCCGCGUGAGUGAAGAAGGUUUUCGGAUCGUAAAACUCUGUUGGUAGAGAAGAACGUUGGUGAGAGUGGAAAGCUCAUCAAGUGACGGUAACUACCCAGAAAGGGACGGCUAACUACGUG
rnacentral:rRNA from 1 species